UACAGAGGUGGCAAGCGUUGUUCGGAAUUACUGGGCGUAAAGGGCGCGUAGGCGGUCCGAUAAGUCCCGUGUGAAAGCCCCCGGCUCAACUGGGGAACUGCACGGGAAACUGACGGACUUGAGUUCGGGAGAGGGAAGCGGAACUCCGGGUGUAGCGGUGAAAUGCGUAGAUAUCCGGAGGAACACCGGUGGCGAAGGCGGCUUCCUGGACCGACACUGACGCUGAGGCGCGAAAGCUAGGGGAGCAAACGGG
rnacentral:rRNA from 1 species